rnacentral:rRNA from 1 species
CGGGGGUUCCAAUUUGAAGGCGGGCUGGAUCUCUCGGGGUUACAGCCUUGCUGAAUUAUUCACCCUUGUCUUUUGCGUACUUCUUGUUUCCUUGGUGGGUUCGCCCACCACUAGGACAAACAUAAACCUUUUGUAAUUGCAAUCAGCGUCAGUAACAAAUUAAUAAUUACAACUUUCAACAACGGAUCUCUUGGUUCUGGCAUCGAUGAAGAACGCAGCGAAAUGCGAUAAGUAGUGUGAAUUGCAGAAUUCAGUGAAUCAUCGAAUCUUUGAACGCACAUUGCGCCCUUUGGUAUUCCAAAGGGCAUGCCUGUUCGAGCGUCAUUUGUACCCUCAAGCUUUGCUUGGUGUUGGGCGUCUUGUCUCUAGCUUUGCUGGAGACUCGCCUUAAAGUAAUUGGCAGCCGGCCUACUGGUUUCGGAGCGCAGCACAAGUCGCACUCUCUAUCAGCAAAGGUCUAGCAUCCAUUAAGCCUUUUUUUCAACUUUUGACCUCGGAUCAGGUAGGGAUACCCGCUGAACUUAAGCAUAUCAAUAAGCCCGGAGGAA